rnacentral:rRNA from 1 species
GAUUGAACUUAAGAGUUUGAUCCUGGCUCAGAUUGAACGCUGGCGGCAUGCUUUACACAUGCAAGUCGAGCGGCAGCGGGGGUGCUUGCACCUGCCGGCGAGCGGCGAACGGGUGAGUAAUGCAUCGGAACGUACCCAUG